rnacentral:misc_RNA from 1 species
UAAUAUAUUUAAAAACCUUAUUGCUUAUCAGCAAACACAAUCGAUUUAAACAGUGACUAACGAUGGUAACGGUAACUGCGAACAGGUAGCAACUAUCGCCCAUCCCUGAUUCCCCUUGUCAAUGUCGCUGGCAAAUAAAUAAAUAAAUAUCAACAAAAUAGAGAAUGAGCGCGGAUGCGAGAAUCAAGGAGAUGGCGCCAUCGCUGGACACCAGCGAGCGGGAUGGUGAGAGGGAGCGAGAGCGGGAGAGCGGAUGCCAGGACGUGGAUGCCACCAACUCGAACACGGAACCCAGUGCCAGCGAUUGGGUGAAUUUCUCCCAGUGGAUGCACUGCUUCUGCGUGGUCACCUUCGAUCUUAAUCUGGGCCAGGCGCUGGAGCACGUCUAUCCGCCGCAGUUCAUGCCCAGCGACCAGGAGGUCAGCAACAUCUGCUACAUGGCCUUUCCGGACUCCAAUUCCGGCUGCAUGGGCGACACCAAGUUCCACAUGCGAUUGCGCUGCACAACGCGUCGUGAUUCCCUGCCAGGCUACAAUGCAGAGUGUUCGCCGGCACUGCGACAGGAUGGCUCCCACUACUGGGGCUUCGUGUACUUCCGGCAGAAGCGGGACGCGAAUCUGCCGCGUGGUUACUUCCAGAAGAGCUUCAUCAUCAUCACACGGCUGCCGUUCUUCAAUCUGUACUACGACAUACUCUCCCAGCUGGCGCCGCGCUACUUUGAGGACGGCACAGACGUCCUGCGGCUGGCCAGCGAGCAAAUCAAUCGCCAGUGGCCGGCCCUAAAGGUGGGCAAACCUCUCCAGCUGCCGCUGAUGGAGUGCAGCUAUCAGAUAUGCAUACCGCGGACCAGCAGCAGCAGUAGGAAGUCCACAGCAGCAGAAGGUGUCGGCAGCGCGGGCGAAACGCCACCGGCGAUGGCUGCUUGCCCAGCGGCCAAGGUGCUGGCCUCGGUUAACGAAAUCGAGCUCUUCCGCUCCCUGGACUUUGUCAUGGAGCAGCUGUACACGCUGUGGGAGCUGGUCAUCACCGCCGAGCCCAUCGUUGUCGUGGGCACCUCACCCGCCGACUGCUCCUACAUGGUGCAGACCCUCCUGGCGCUGAUCGCACCGCUCGAGUACUGCGCAGAGGCGCGUCCCUACUUCACCAUUCACGACAGCGAGUUCCGGGAGUUCACACAGGAGUGCAGCAGCAAGACAACACUACCCGCCUGCAUAUUGGGCGUGACCAAUCCGUUCUUUGUCAAGCUGCUCAAGGAUUGGCCGCACAUGCUGCGGCUGGUGGACAACCAGAAGAACAUGCAGCAGCAACAGCACUUGCUGCUGGGCCAAAAGCACGCAAGGAACAUUGCAUCGGCCACAUCCUUCUCCAGCGCAACGGAGAUCGGUGGCAGAUCGGUGAAACCCAGCGCGGCCCUGAACGGCAGCUCCAGCAAUGGCUCGGGCGAUGCCUCAUCGGCGGGACUGCACAGCAAGUACAGGCCGUACCUGAAGAAGGACAAGGCGCUGAUCAAGAAGGUGCUGCUGGGCAUGAAGACCAAGCGGCCGGAGCAUGUGCAAACCGCACUGAUACGACGCCACCUGCUCGAGCUGACCCAGAGCUUUAUGAUACCGCUGGAGCGGUAUAUGGCCUCGCUGAUGCCGCUGCAGAAGGACAUCAGUCCGUUCAAGUCGGCGCCCAAUGCCAGCAGCUUCAAGCUGGACGAUUUCCUGGCCACGCUGGAAACAGCUGGGCCGCAGCUAACGUCGCCGCUGAAGGGCGACUGGAAGGGCCUGUACAGACGCUUCUUUCGAUCGCCCAAUUUUCGCGGCUGGUACGGUGCGAGGCAUCGGGAGCUGCAACUAACGCUGCAGGAUCUCCAGCUGCAGGCGCUGUCGGUGGCGAAUCUCGAGCACUGGGCGCACGACAAGCAGGAGGUGGAGAUCAUCGAUAUGAUACUCAAGCUCAAGCAGAAACUGAAUCUCUAUGGCGACAAGGCCGCGCAGCUGGAGGGCAUCAAUGGUACGCAGCAGCAGAUACGCGCGCAGAUCGAGUGCAUGAAGGGCUUGCUGCCGCCGGAUCUCAAGAAUGUGGUGAAUCUUUGAUCUUAGUUGGCGUCCCAUCUGUCUGUUAUCCUGUGUGAUUGUGUGCGGUGCUCUUUUAUCAGUGUAAAUAGGUUUUAAUCGGAGAUUAGUCGCCGUAUUCGUGUCUAGUUUAAUUCUAAAAUAAUCCCAAGCCAGCGAAUUCCAACUUUUUACACCCCUUCGAAGUAAUGCUCAUGUCUCCGACUGUCUCAAAUGGUUAAGCCAAUGGCUCCAAACCAAUCAAAUAAUACGAAUUUGCGUGAAAUUACCUCGUUAAAGUUCUGAAAUGUGAUUUAAAGCCAGUUUGUUCUACCUUCAUUUUGUUUCAUUUUCAAAAACGUUUGUAUGUAUAUCGCUGAAAUUGUUUAUAUCUACGAUUGUCAAAUAUAAGUUAACUGGAUUCAUAA